UACGUAGGGUGCGAGCGUUAAUCGGAAUUACUGGGCGUAAAGCGUGCGCAGGCGGUGCUGUAAGACCGAUGUGAAAUCCCCGGGCUUAACCUGGGAACUGCAUUGGUGACUGCAGCGCUGGAGUAUGGCAGAGGGGGGUGGAAUUCCACGUGUAGCAGUGAAAUGCGUAGAGAUGUGGAGGAACACCGAUGGCGAAGGCAGCCCCUGGGCCAAUACUGACGCUCAUGCACGAAAGCGUGGGGAGCAAA
rnacentral:rRNA from 1 species